GCCUUGGUGUAUUUAUUACUGCUUCAGCUUCUGAUAACUUGUGAAAAUCGUCCAUCAGGAUAGCGGGAUUGAUGAAGCGGAAUGUGGGAGAAAAGUUUGCUUGAGUCGGUUAUCAGUUUGAAGUUGCGAUAAAGAGCAGCAAAGAUGAUGCAUUCUUCGACUCCCAGCCUUGGUUGGAGUCAGAUUGUGAAGAUGACUUCUUAAGCGUGAAUGGUGAUUUCACCCCGUCUCGUGGAAGCACUCCUGUCCACCACAGAUUCUCUUCUGGGAAUCCAAC